GGUUUCAUAGAGAAAUUUAUAUAGAAUCUUUGAAAAAGACUUUCUUUCAUAAGACUUUCAUACAUAAGAAAGAAAAUACUUACUAUCUUUGGGAUUUGAUCCUACACCGCUGCUCAAGACUUUAGUGGAUCGACUCUAUUACAUAAGUUAAUUCCUAAUUUUUAUCUCACAUCAUGAGAUAAGUACGCAGUUAUUAUUGUAUCGGCCCAAAACCUCGCUAAUUGAUCUUUACGGUGCUUCCUUUAUCUCUCUCAAUUAAAGCUUUAUAUCCAU
rnacentral:lncRNA from 1 species